rnacentral:lncRNA from 1 species
GAAUAUUUUCAAGACAUAUAUAUAUAUACGCUCAAAACCAAUAUAUAGACAAAGAAGUGUUUUGUUCUCCAUCCACCACCUUUUUUAGCCUGCCAACCUUCCUCUUCACUAAAGUACUCCCUUGUUCCCCAUCCUCCUUAUUCUUGCUUGGCCUUCCGACCUACUUCCUUUCUCCCGGUGGCACUACAGAACUACUCACCUCUUUCUUGUUCUUCUUCUUUGGUUUUGGAAUGGGUUUAUUCGAGUAGAUUUCAUAAAGUAUAGAAUUAGUUACCACGAUAACCGAUCAUAAUGAUCUCUUAAAUUCCUUAUCAAUAUAGUAUUACAAUCCCA